rnacentral:rRNA from 1 species
GGGUUGUGAGGUUAAGCGACUAAGCGUACACGGUGGAUGCCCUGGCAGUCAGAGGCGAUGAAGGACGUGCUAAUCUGCGAUAAGCGUCGGUAAGGUGAUAUGAACCGUUAUAACCGGCGAUUUCCGAAUGGGGAAACCCAGUGUGAUUCGUCACACUAUCAUUAACUGAAUCCAUAGGUUAAUGAGGCGAACCGGGGGAACUGAAACAUCUAAGUACCCCGAGGAAAAGAAAUCAACCGAGAUUCCCCCAGUAGCGGCGAGCGAACGGGGAGCAGCCCAGAGCCUGAAUCAGUGUGUGUGUUAGUGGAAGCGUCUGGAAAGGCGCGCGAUACAGGGUG